rnacentral:rRNA from 1 species
UUAAGCGACUAAGCGUACACGGUGGAUGCCCUGGCAGUCAGAGGCGAUGAAGGACGUGCUAAUCUGCGAUAAGCGUCGGUAAGGUGAUAUGAACCGUUAUAACCGGCGAUUUCCGAAUGGGGAAACCCAGUGUGUUUCGACACACUAUCAUUAACUGAAUCCAUAGGUUAAUGAGGCGAACCGGGGGAACUGAAACAUCUAAGUACCCCGAGGAAAAGAAAUCAACCGAGAUUCCCCCAGUAGCGGCGAGCGAACGGGGAGCAGCCCAGAGCCUGAAUCAGUAUGUGUGUUAGUGGAAGCGUCUGGAAAGGCGCGCGAUACAGGGUGACAGCCCCGUACACAAAAAUGCACAUAUUGUGAGCUCGAUGAGUAGGGCGGGACACGUGGUAUCCUGUCUGAAUAUGGGGGGACCAUCCUCCAAGGCUAAAUACUCCUGACUGACCGAUAGUGAACCAGUACCGUGAGGGAAAGGCGAAAAGAACCCCGGCGAGGGGAGUGAAAAAGAACCUGAAACCGUGUACGUACAAGCAGUGGGAGCACGCUUAGGCGUGUGACUGCGUACCUUUUGUAUAAUGGGUCAGCGACUUAUAUUCUGUAGCAAGGUUAACCGAAUAGGGGAGCCGAAGGGAAACCGAGUCUUAACUGGGCGUUAAGUUGCAGGGUAUAGACCCGAAACCCGGUGAUCUAGCCAUGGGCAGGUUGAAGGUUGGGUAACACUAACUGGAGGACCGAACGACUAAUGUUGAAAAUUAGCGGAUGACUUGUGGCUGGGGGUNAAAGGCCAAUCAAACCGGGAGAUAGU